GAUGAACGCUGGCGGCGUGCCUAAUACAUGCAAGUCGAGCGAACAGAUGAGAAGCUUGCUUCUCUGAUGUUAGCGGCGGACGGGUGAGUAACACGUGGGUGACCUACCUAUAAGACUGGGAUAACUCCGGGAAACCGGGGCUAAUACCGGAUAAUAUUUUGAACCGCAUGGUUCAAUAGUGAAAGACGGUUUCGGCUGUCACUUAUGGAUGGACCCGCGCCGUAUUAGCUAGUUGGUAAGGUAACGGCUUACCAAGGCGACGAUGCGUAGCCGACCUGAGAGGGUGAUCGGCCACACUGGAACUGAGACACGGUCCAGACUCCUACGGGAGGCAGCAGUAGUGAAUCUUCCGCAAUGGGCGAAAGCCUGACGGAGCAACGCCGCGUGAGUGAUGAAGGUCUUCGGAUCGUAAAACUCUGUUGUUAGGGAAGAACAAAUUUGUUAGUAACUGAACAAGUCUUGACGGUACCUAACCAGAAAGCCACGGCUAACUACGUGCCAGCCGCCGCCGUAA
rnacentral:rRNA from 1 species